UACGUAGGGUGCGAGCGUUGUCCGGAAUUAUUGGGCGUAAAGGGCGCGUAGGCGAUUUGAAAAGUCUUGUGUGAAAGCCCCGGGCUUAACCCGGGAAGUGCACAAGAAACUGUUGAAUUUGAGUUCCGGAGAGGAAGGCAGAAUUCCCAGUGUAGCGGUGAAAUGCGUAGAUAUUGGGAGGAACACCAGUGGCGAAGGCGGCUCACUGGACCGGAACUGACGCUGAUGCGCGAAAGCGUGGGGAGCAAACGGG
rnacentral:rRNA from 1 species